AAUGGUAACAGGAAACAGCUUGCUGUUUCGCUGACGAGUGGCGGACGGGUGAGUAAUGUCUGGGAAACUGCCUGAUGGAGGGGGAUAACUACUGGAAACGGUAGCUAAUACCGCAUAACGUCGCAAGACCAAAGAGGGGGACCUUCGGGCCUCUUGCCAUCAGAUGUGCCCAGAUGGGAUUAGCUAGUAGGUGGGGUAACGGCUCACCUAGGCGACGAUCCCUAGCUGGUCUGAGAGGAUGACCAGCCACACUGGAACUGAGACACGGUCCAGACUCCUACGGGAGGCAGCAGUGGGGAAUAUUGCACAAUGGGCGCAAGCCUGAUGCAGCCAUGCCGCGUGUAUGAAGAAGGCCUUCGGGUUGUAAAGUACUUUCAGCGGGGAGGAAGGGAGUAAAGUUAAUACCUUUGCUCAUUGACGUUACCCGCAGAAGAAGCACCGGCUAACUCCGUGCCAGCAGCCGCGGUAAUACGGAGGGUGCAAGCGUUAAUCGGAAUUACUGGGCGUAAAGCGCACGCAGGCGGUUUGUUAAGUCAGAUGUGAAAUCCCCGGGCUCAACCUGGGAACUGCAUCUGAUACUGGCAAGCUUGAGUCUCGU
rnacentral:rRNA from 1 species